CCUACGGGGGGCAGCAGUGAGGAAUAUUGGGCAAUGGACGAGAGUCUGAACCAGCCAAGUAGCGUGAAGGAUGACUGCCCUAUGGGUGGUAAACUUCUUUUAUAAGGGAAUAAAACGAGGCACGUGUGCCUUUUUGCAUGUACUUUAUGAAUAAGGAUAGGCUAACUCCGUGCCAGCAGCCGCGGUAAUACGGAGGAUCCGAGCGUUAUCCGGAUUGAUUGGGUUUAAAGGGAGCGUAGAUGGGUUGUUAAGUCAGUUGUGAAAGUUUGCGGCUCAACCGUAAAAUUGCAAUUGAUACUGGCAGUCUUGAGUACAGGUGAGGUAGGCGGAAUUCGUGGUGUAGCGGUGAAAUGCUGAGAUAUCACGAAGAACCACGAUUGCGAAGGCAGCUUACUAAACUGUGACUGACAUUGAUGCUCGAAAGUCUGGGGAUCAAACCGGAAUAGGUACCCUUGUAGUC
rnacentral:rRNA from 1 species